GAUGAACGCUGGCGGCGUGCUUAACACAUGCAAGUCGAACGAUGAAGCCCAGCCUGCUGGGCGGAUUAGUGGCGAACGGGUGAGUAACACGUGAGUAACCUGCCCUUGACUCUGGGAUAAGCCCGGGAAACUGGGUCUAAUACCGGAUAGGAGCGCCUGUCGCAUGACGGGUGCUGGAAAGAUUUUUCGGUCAUGGAUGGACUCGCGGCCUAUCAGCUUGUUGGUGAGGUAACGGCUCACCAAGGCGACGACGGGUAGCCGGCCUGAGAGGGUGACCGGCCACACUGGGACUGAGACACGGCCCAGACUCCUACGGGAGGCAGCAGUGGGGAAUAUUGCACAAUGGGCGGAAGCCUGAUGCAGCGACGCCGCGUGAGGGAUGACGGCCUUCGGGUUGUAAACCUCUUUCAGU
rnacentral:rRNA from 1 species